rnacentral:lncRNA from 1 species
GAGAUUAGAACCUGAAAAAGUUAGAAACGGCUGAAAAUAGAUCCUCACUGAUAAAGCUUGGAAAAUUAGAAAGAAAGGAGAAAAAAUCUCUCAAUCAUUGUUCCAUUACAGUUUGUUUUCAUAUUUCUGGGAAUUUUAAAAGUUCAAGCGGAUUACUAAUCUUCUGGGCUCAAAAGAUGGGUGUAGCUGUGUGACAAUUGUUGUUACUGCCUGUUUAAGAGCUGUUGCUACUGUUAUUUCAUUACUGAAGUUCUUUGUUUGUCUCUCAUUGUUCCAGGUACUGUUCUUACUUUUGAAAUGUCAAAUCAGAAGCAUUACAUGGAUUAAAAUGAAGGAGUUUUCUGCUUGUCAUUCUAUUGUUAUCUUCAGCAUUUGAUCUGUUUUUCUUUACUACUUUAUGUUAAUUGUUACUUCCUAGUUAGGGCUAAGUGUUGGUAUUUACUCUUUUCUACAUUAAAGCUCUGACGUUCAGCUGUUUGGGUUUCAAGUUUGUAUAGAUAUUUUAGAUGUAAUUUUGGGAACUAUGUUAAACUAUGGACUGUGAGAUUGACAUAUUUUAAGCCGCUGAACAUUUUAGCAUGCUUGCUAUGAUCCGGUAGAUAGUCAUGUUUAGGUAGCAAAAAUUAAAUAGAAAAUGAUUCAUUACUAGUAAACUAUUAUGUGGUUAAAUCAUUAUUGAUGUUCAGUUAGAGCUGUGAAUUCUAUAAUAUUUGAAUAAUAGAAUGAAUUAGGUUUAGACUGUUAUAAUGUUAAGUACUGUAUUUUUCAGAAUAGUAUUAUGAUUUAGCAUCAAGAUUGUGUUAAAAUUCUGCAAAAUGACUUGGGCUGUCAUGAGUUAAUAUGGUUGUUGGGCCUCGAAUGGCGCCUGACAUAGGCCCAAAUCGAGCAGCCCAGUCUCAAGUUAGGUUCUUCAGUUUUGGGCGUAACUGAUUCAUUUUCUUCUUUGAAUUUUCGUUUAAUGUAUCACUUGAGAUCAAGAUGUUCAUGGUGUCGUUUUGUUUCCCAGCUAUUGUAUGCACGUCUUACAGCUGGGGCUUUGAGGCUAGCCCAACUUUACUUUUGUUGAUCCCGUUUUGUUUUGGGCCUUCCGUUGAGCCCAAUUCCCUUUUCAAAUAUUGCCUUGUGUUCCUUUAAGUCCAGAAUUUCCCCAAAUGUUAGGCGAUAUAGUAUUCUGUUUAAGCUAUUCAUGGCUGCAUAUUGAAUUCAAUUUGGUCAAAACUCAAAACUGCCUUAGUCCUUUUAAUUAAGUAUGGUUCCUUUAGUUACAGUGAGGUGUGCCAUAUCAGUAAAACAUAUAAUUUAUGGCCCUCAUAAGACUAGACCAAGAAAUCAUUUUAAGAAUAAUUUGAGGCGUGCCUUGCCAAAUAAGACCCCCAAGCCCAUGGCCCUCAUAUAAUUAAUACUAACCCUUUAAAAAUUGAGGUGUGCCGUCAAUUGAAUUUUCCAUGGCCCUCGCAAACUUGUUAUUAAUUAGAACCUUCGUAGUUGCUUUAGGCGCGUUCUUUAAAUUGACUUUUCUUACACAAUUCGGGUGUACAUUUCAUGUGACUCAAUUUCAAUUCUCAACAAUGUUAAAUAGAACGUGUCGCGAACCGCGGGUACAUUUCAUAUGGUGUGGUUCAAGGUAUGUUUUAAAUAACGUUGAAUCUUCCUAAAAGCGUUUUAAAAUAAUUAAAAGCGGUUAAUAAGCUAAAAAUGCACAAUAGUUUAAAACAUGUAAUGAAUCGGAUAAUAGGCCAAUUUUAAUAGUUUAAGUGAUCGUGCUAGAACCACGGAACCCGGGAAUGCCUAACACCUUAUCCCGAGUUAACAGAAUUCCUUAUAUAGAAUUUCUGGUUCGCAGACUUUAAAAUGAAAGUCGAAUUUCCUCGAUUUGGGAUUUAAAAUAAUCUGGUGACUUGGAAUACCAUUUAAACUAUUUCAAGUGGCGACUCUAAUUUAAAUAAAUAAUCCCAUUUCUAAUAGUGUCACUUUAAUUGAAAAAACUCCCUUAUAUACCUCUCGGGUGUGCAAAAAGGCGGUGUGACACCCACUGGUAGAAAAGAAAGCCUCCACAAAACAUCAUAAGGAUCACACAUCCGUAGAUUACUCCUCAAGUGAUAACCUACUUGCUUAGCCUCAAAAUGGCAUCUCUUUAUACCCCUUUUGCAGCCACAACUACUACGCAAUUACUUAAUCUUCCUGAUUCUGAACUCAUCAACAAUGCAUGAGAAUCUAAUCUAUUCUACCAAUGAAAUAACAUGAAAGAAUCCCUCAAAACCCUCAUAACUCCAGACCGUAUGACAUAUCCACAGAAAUUGAGCAUCCAAUAAUCCUUUCACAUCCCAAACAAAAUCUUCCUGUCAUAUCAAAACCAUCUGAACACAUCCCACCGUCAAAACAUAAUCAUCAUUUAGCUAUCCAACCAUUCAUCGAGCCACAACUCUACUCAUAGGGACACUACCAGACAUAUAGGUCCAAAAGUAUGUGCUCACAUAAUUGAAAUCCCCCUCCUAAAGCUACAGUCAAAACUCAGCCUCAAGUCCUCCAGACUGGCCCAUCGUCAGCAUACAAAAAUCACAUAUCGUACCUCGUCCAUGGAAUCACAAACCGUCGAUGCACAGGUGAUACCGAGAGCUCACAUAUGCAUACGAGUGAGUGGAAGGAUUUCAAAGAGAUAUGCUUCAAGCUGAAUCAAUGCCACAUGAUAAGGAAAGAAGGAUGGGAAGUUUAUCCUAAAUGCCCUAUAGCCUCUCGAAGAUAGGUAUAGACGUCAUCAUACCGAUCCACAAGACUCUACUAGACACUUGCUCAUGACUUGUAGAACCUAUGAACCUAGAGCUCUGAUACUAACUUGUCAUGACCCAAAAUCCAACUAGUCGUGACGGAGCCUAACCCAAACCGCUAGGUAAGCCAAUUAGCAACAAUCCAAUUCAAAUGAGAUUUAUUGAGAAAAUAAAUGAUGAAGUAACUAAACUUUUAAAUAAAAAUUAUAAGGAUAUUGGUAGUAGAAAUCAUGAGAUUCUAAGAUUUAGAGUCUAAAAAGUUGGUAUGAAAUAAAUACAUCAUCUGUUCGAAAUGUACAUAAACAAAUUUUUACAAAUCUAAAGCUACCAUGAGCAAGAGGCAGCUACAACCGGAACACAGGUACAUCUUCAACGCCAGCUCCCGCCAUACACAGCAACAUCACCUCCAAAAUCUGCAUGUAAGGUGAAGAAGUGUAGUAUAAGUACAACCGACCCUAUGUACUCAAUAAGUAACAAACCUAACCUUAGGUUGAAAGCAGUGGCGAGCUUGGAAAAAAGGUCAGAGUCUAACACUAAUAGCCAAGAACAAUUCGUUAUAAGAUAAGAGAAACAAUACAAGCAAUGGCUCAAAAAUAUGUUGCUCAGCUCGUUCUGAGUUACAGAAAAAAAGUUAUGCUUCUCAGGUAUAACAAUAAAACCCAAAUCUUUCACCGAAAACACCAAAGUACGAGUAAGUCAGAAAAACUGUGAUUUUUCCCAAAUAGCUUUCAAUAAUAAAUAAGAUGCUUCAUUACCAGACAACAUGAGGAAAGUACUUCUCUAUGCCUAUAUGCCAAUGUGCACGUGAAAUCAUGAAUGUCACCAAAACCAGGUAGCAUGAGAAAAUGCAUCUCUAUGCUUAUAUGCCAAGUAUGCAUGUCAAAUGCAAUGCAUCACAGAGAUGAACUCAUGUACUCACACUCUCAGAGUACUCAAUCUCACUAUCUCACACUUUCCACUUAUCAUGCUCAAUCACUCAACACACUCAGUCACUCAGCACUGUAUAGGGCAGAACCAGCCCAAACGCUAAUAAAUCCUGCUACGGCGCGCAGCUCUAUCCCAUCGUGAAUCAAUAACAACCGUGCUCACUGUAGGUGUGCAGACUCUGGAGGGGCAGAUCCAGAACAAGCGCUAUAAUAAGCCAAUUAUGGCAUAUAUCAGUAAAGUCUGCUGCGGCGUGCAACUCGAUCCCAUAAAUAUCACUCUCAAACAAGCGCUUGGCCUCACUCAAUCAUCAAUUUCUCUAGUCUUUCGACUGACAAUGUCAUGAAGAUUAGCCCAAACAUAAUGAUAUGAUAUAUCAAUAAAUAGUAACAAAGCCUGAGAUAUAAUAUGCAAAUGAAUGAGUAUAAUUGAGUAUGUAACUGUAAUUUUAGAAAAUAACUCCACAUCAUAUAUGACCUCAGUGGGUCCCAACAGAAUAAGCAUAUAGCCUAAACAUGAUUUCUAACAUGGAUCACAGAUCAAUUGCUUUAACAUGUAGAAAUCUCAUGGACAAAACAAGAUUAGGUAACUACACACUACCAUAGAAACAACCGAGCCCUAAUUAAGACGGUGCACGCCCAUACACCCGUCACCUAGCAUGUGCGUUACCUCAAUGCCAAACGCAUAACAUUUAUAUUCGGGGGAUCAUACUCUCAGCACCAAGUUAAGAAGUGUUACUUACCUCGAACAAGCCAAAUCCAAUACCGAGAAAGCCAAAUAAUACUCUAGAAAUGCCAUCCCAUGCGUAUCAACCUCCGAAUGGCUCGAAACUAGCCAAAAACAACUCAAAUACAUCAAAUAAUGCCUAAGGAAACAAACUCAAUCGAUAAAGGUCGAAUCUUUAAUCAAAAGCCCAAAGUCAACCAAAAAAUAAACCCGGGUCGCAACUCAGAACCCGACAAAACUUACAAAAUCUGACAAUCAAUUCAAUUACGAGGCCAACCAUUCUAAUUUCACUCAAAUCUGACUCCGAAUCGAUGCUCAAAACUCAAAAAUUUACUUUAUGAAAUAUUCGAAAAAUCCCCCCAAUUACACUUUUGAAAUCAUCAACCAAAUGCCAAAAAUAAGGAUAGACUCAUGAAAUAUAAUUAAAACAACGAGUAGAGAACACAUACCCUAAUCCUUAUGUUGAAAAUCGAUUCAAACAUUGCCUCAAUCCGAGCUCCAUAGCUCAAAAUAUGAUAAAAUAAACUCAAAAUCCCCAAAUUUGAUGUUUUAAUGCACUGCCAGGGGUCCCUCUUCACGUUCACCGUCCCCAACAUCGGGAUCGCGAUUCAAAAAAAAAUCUAACUCAAUUUUUGAUUACAAGUCCCAAAUGACAUAACAAAGCUAUUCAAAUUCUCGGAACCGUAAUCCGAACCUAAUAUCAUCAAAGUCAACUCCUAGUCAAACUUAUGAACUUUUCAAACCUUUAAAUUUUCAACUAUCGCCAAUUAGCGCUGAAAACUUCUAGAAAUAUCCACAUGCAAAUCUAGGUACACGCCCGAGUCCAAAAUCACCAUCCGAACUUAACGGAACCAUCGAAACUCCGGUCCGAGGUCAAAUACACAAAAGUCAAACUUGGUCAACGCCUCCAACUUAAUGCUUCAAAUAUGAAAUUCAUUCUUCAAAAUCAAUUCUAAAUAACCUGAAAACCAAAACCAACGGUUCACACAAAUCAUAAUACAUCAUACGGAGCUAUUCAUUCCCUCAAACCACUGAGGUAAGGGCAACUGCUCAAAAUGACCGAUCGGGUCAUUAUAGAUAUAUCAUGAAGUUGUUUCACGUUGAUAUAGGCUUACAGUAACCUUUAGACUUCAUGAGUAGUGUUUUCUAUAAAACUUCAGCCUAAAACGUCUGAAGUUUCAAGGAAUAUAAGCUAAAACUUCAUGCUGAUAUAGUAUGAAGUUGUUUCAUAUUGAUAUAGGCUCAUGGGAAACUUCAUGUAAUUUAACGUUGAUGUAGGCUUACAGUAACCUUUAGACUUCACGAGUAGUGUUUUAUAUAAAACUUCAGCCUAAAACUUCUGAACUUUCAAGGAUAUAUAAGCUAAAACUUCAUGCCGAUAUAGUAUGAAGUUGUUUCAUGUUGAUAUAUGCUCACAGGAAACUUCCGACUACAUGAGUAGUAUUUCCCAAGAAAACUUCAGCCUAAAAGGUCUGAAGUUUCAAGGAUAUAUAAGCUAAAACUUCAUGCUGAUAUAGUAUAAAGUUGUAUCAUGUUGAUAUAGGCUCACAGGAAACUUUAGACUGCAUAAGUAGUGUUUUCACAGAAAACUUCAGCCUAAAAGGUCUGAAGCUUCAAGGAUAUAUAAGCUAAAAUUUCAUGCAGAUAUAGCAUGAAGAUGUUUCAUGUUGAUAUAGGCUAACAUGAAACUUCAGCCUAAAUGGAUAGUGUUUUCCAAGAAAGUUCAGCCCAAAAGGUCUGAAGCUUCAAAGUAUAGAAAGAGAACUUCACACAUAUCUAAAAAAUAACUUCAGACUAUGGAAAUUUUUAAAAAAAUAGCUGGUAGUGUUUUCCUGAAAACUACAGCCUAAAAAGUUUGAAGCUUCAAAGAUAUAUAACCUAAAAGUUCAUACUAAAAUUUCAAGAAACUUCAGAUGUUUUAUUCAUUAACUGCAGGAUGAGUUCAAUUUCUUGUUGUUACUUUCAAUAUGAGAUGGACUUUAGAUACAAGUACUUGGAUCAUGAUACAAAACUUGUUCUGGUCAAUAAACGAGUAUCAAUCAACACUUUCCUGAAGAAAAUUAAUGAAGUCAUAGAUUUUGAUGCAAACAAAUAUGAACUAAAAAUAUGGUUUGACAUCAAAUUAAAGACAAGUAAAGGGAUGCUUGUAACUUCAGAUGAAGAACUCAAAACCUGUUGUCAUGACCCCAAUUCCCCUCCGUAGGAUGCCAUGAGGGAACCUAAUCUCUAAGACUAUGUAAGUCUUACAAUUGUGCAGAAUAAUUGAAUAUUAAGCUGAAACUCAAACCUCUACAUCUGAAAUAAAUAAAAACUACAAUUCAAAAUAAUUAAAACUCCCAAAACCAGGUAGAAAUAAGUCACAAGCUCUAAAGAGAAAUACUAAAUAUCUAUAUACAUCAGAGUCUAAUGAGGAUAAGGGAAAACAACAUAAUAAAGGUAGAUGGGGACUCCGAGGUCUGCGGACUCUGACAAAUAUACCUUUAAGUCUCCACGUACUCACUAGCUCACUGAUAUCUGGUCUAGUAGGAUGUACCUGAUCUGCACAAAAGAUAUGUAGAAAAGUAGUAUGAGUACACCACAACAUUACCCAGUAAGUUCCAAGUCUAACCUUGGAAGAGUAGGUAUGAGGUCAGGUUAGGGCCCUACUGGAAUUUAUAAGAAACAAGGCAGAAGGUAUAAUAAGGUAAUGAAAUGAAAGAGAGGUGAAACAAUGAGAAUUUACGGAAGGUAAUAACACAGAAUCAAAGAAAAGACAAUUAUAACAUGAAAGGAAGAAAAAAUCUUACAAGUUAAAGAAAGACAACAACAACCAGUAUAGCAAAUAGAGGAAGUCAACAUGGGAACUCCCGACGUACCGCCUCGUAGUCCCAAAAGUAAAUAUCUCACAAUCUUUCCUUAUAUCACCGCAGGGUCCUUAUAGUUUGUUUUAAAAUUUAAUUUUCCGAAAUAGCAUCCCACGUUUUAUCCAACCUUAUCUCACUGCAUGACUUCUAGUAGUUCCCCUAGUAGCCACGCGUAUCAAACCCACCUUAUCUCACUGCAUGCGUUUCAACACUCAGAUUUUAUACCACCGCAUGCGUAUCAAUAAUCACAACGGCACGAUAGAAACCUCGUGCAAACAACCGCAUGACAGAAAUUUCGUGCAACAACCUAACAGUCAUCUUAACAACAAUCAUGAAAAUUAAGACAUGACAACUUAAAUAAUCAAGGUUAACAAGUUCAAAUAAGGAAUCCCAAGUUAAAUAAUGAAUAAGGAAUCGAGAAAACGGGAAAUUCAACUAGGCAUGUAGUACAUGUUGCAAACAAGAGAAAAAAUAAGUAGACAUGUAAAAUUAGGCUAAACAUAAUGACUAUACAUGCUAAAGUAACUCAGCUAAGGCAUAAAAAGGAAAUAACUUAGAUAAAAAUCGAAAUUUCAACAUUUAGCCCGUGUGCACACUCGUCACCACGCGUACACUGCCCUCACAUAUCAUAAAUUGUCACAACAAUACCAAAUCCUAAGGGAGAAUUCCCCAACACAGGGUUAGAAAAGUCACUUACCUCGAACCUCGCUCAAUCAAUCAAUAAAAAGGCAUUUCCCUUGAUUUUUCGAUUCCGAACGACCCAAAUAUAACCAAAAAUGAUUACUUACUAUAAAUAUAACUAUAGGAAACUAAUUUAAAUAAUGAACUACGACUUUAGCAAAGAAUUGAAAAAUUGCUCCAAAAAGUCGACCCGUGUCCAGUCCCGGAAUCGGGUAAAAGUCACAAAAUCCGAAUUAUUCGAUAUCGAGUUCAGCCAUACAAGAAUUAUCCAAAUCCGACCUCAUUUGGCCUUUCAAAACCCAAAAAUUUGGCCUAAGAACUAUACACCCUUUUCCCCCAAUUUCUCGACCCAAAUCCUUAAUUAAAUGGAGAAAUUAAUGAUAGAUUAGUGGAAAUUAAUCCAAAAUGAGUCAAGAAUACUUACCCAAAUGUUUUCUGUGAAAAUCCCCCAAAAUCUUACCUCAAUCGAGCUCUCAAAGUCCCAAAAAGAAAAUGAGAGGGUCUGCUGCCCAGGUGUUUACACUUCGCGAUUGCAGAAAUAUCCAUGUGAUCGCAUAGAACAAAAAUAUGCCCCAACCAUAUGACCUAUGUGAACGCAGUUGGAAGAACGCAAAUGCAAAUAACAAAUUCCCAUGCCUUGUGCGAUCGCGGAGAGGCACACGCGUUCGCAUAGAAUAACACGCGUGAACCCUACUGCCUUAUUUCCUCUUCGCGAACGCGUCCUAGCCCACGUGUUUGCGAUGCUCUACCUGGAAAACUUACGCGAUCAUGUAAUCCACCUUACAAAUGCAUGAAGUAGAAAUCUAGCUGCCCCCAAACAAGCCAUCGCGAUCGCAUAGAUGAAAACCAGAAGUGGACACUAUCAAAUCUUCAGCACUCUUCUAAGUCUAAUUUUCACCCUGUUAGCUAUCUGAAAUCCACACGAGGCGCCCGGGACAUCAACCAAAUAUACCAACAAUUCCUAAAACAUCAUAUGAACUUAGUCGAGCCUUCAAAUCACAUCAAAAAAUGCUAAAAACACGAAUCGCACAUCGAUUCAAGCCUAAUGAACUUUGAACUUCUAACUUUUCCAUCUGAUGCCGAAACCUAUCAAAUCAAGUUUGAUUGACCUCAAAUUUUGCACACAAGUAAUAAUUGACAUUAUAGACCUACUCCAACUUCCCGAGUCGGAAUCCGACUCCGAUAUCAAAAAGUCCACUCCUGGUCAAACUUUCCAAAAAUCAUCCAACUUUCCAACAUUCGCCGAUUAACGCUGAAAUGACCUACGGACAGGCUCUUAAGACCAAAAUCACCAUACGAAGCUACUAGAGCCAUCAAAACUUAAAUAUGGGGUCGUCUUCACACAAUUCAACAUACGGUAAACUCUAACAACUUUAACUUCAAACUUAAGGACUAUGUGUCCCAUUCCACUCCGAAACUCUCCCAAACCGGACACCGAGCACCCCGGCAAGUCAAGUAACCACAAAAUGAAAUAGAAGAAGCAAUAAAUAGGGGAUCAGAGCUAAUACUCUCAAAACAACUGACCGGGUCGUUACAUCUUCCCCUCUUAAAACAAACGUUCAUCCUCGAGCGAGUAUAGAGACAUAUCUUAAAUGGUGAAAAACUGAGGAUAAUGGUUGCGCAUAUCAUGCUCGGUCUCCCAAGUUCCCUCCUCGACUGGAUGACCCCUGAACCUUCACUAAAGCGAUGUUCUUCGACCUCAACUUUCGAACUUGCCAGUCUAAGAUGGACACCGGCUCCUCAAAAUAAGAUAGAUCCUUGUCCAACUAGAUUGAGAUGAAGUCUCACACAAGAGACGGAUCGCUGUGAUACUUCCGGAGCAUGAAAAUAUGGAACACUAGAUGAACUAUAGAGAGACUAGGUGGUAGUGCAAGUCUGUAAGCCACCUCUCCAACGCUCUCAAGAAUCUCAAAAGGUCUGAUAUAACUAGGGCUCAACUUUCCCUUCUUUUCAAACCUCAAAACUCCCUUCAUGGGCAAAACACGGAGCAAGACCCGCUCCCCAACCAUGAAUGCAAGGUCGCAAGACUUCCGAUCCGCAUAACCCUUUUGUCUGGAUUGGGCUGAACGAAGUCGAUCCUGAAUCAAUUUAACCUUUUUCAAAGCAUCCUGAACCAAAUCUAUACCCAACAUCCUAGCAUCACCCAGCUCAAACCAACCCACUGGAGACCAGAACAACCUACCAUACAAAGUGUCAUACAGGGGCAUCUGAAUGCUCGACUGAUAUUGUUGUAGGCAAACUCCGUAACUGUCAAGAAUUGAUCCCAAGAACCCCCCAAAUCCAUUACACAUGCACGAAGCAUAUCAUCAGAUAUCUGAAUAGUGCGCUCGAACUGUCCAUCCGUUUGAGGGUGAAAUGUUGUACCCAACUCCACCUACGUGCCCAACUCAUGUUGUAUGGCUCUCCAGAACCGCGAUGUAAAUUGCAUUCCCUUGUUAUAGAUGAUAAAUAUCGGCACACCAUGAAGCUUGACAAUCUCGCCAAUAUAAACCUGAGCCAGCUUCUCUGAAGAAUAAGUAGUAACCAUAGGAAUGAAAUGAGCUCACUUGGUCAAUCUAUCCACAAUCACCCAUACUGCAUCGAACUUUCUCUGAGUCUGUAGGAGCCCAACAACAAAAAUCUAUAGUGAACCGCUCCCAUUUCCACUCUGGAAUCUCUAACUUCUAAAGCAACCCACCCGGCCGAUGAUGCUCAUACUUCACAUGCUGACAAUUUAGGCACCGAGUUACAUACUCCACUAUGUCCUUUUUCAUCCGCCUCCACGAAUAGUGUUACCUCAAGUUCUGAUACAUCUUUGCAAGAUCUGGGUGAAUGGAGUAUCAGGAACUAUGAGCCUCCUGAAGAAUCAACCCACGCAAGCCAUCUACAUUGGGCACACACAGCCUGCCCUACAUCCGUAAUACACCAUCCUCUCAAAUAGUGACCUCCUUGGCAUCGCCGUGCUGAACCAUGUCCUUGAGGACACGUAGAUGGGGGUCAUCAUACUGACGUUCUCUAAUACGAUCAUAAAGAGAAGACUGAGAGACCACACAAGCUAAAACUCGACUCAGCUCGAAAACAUCCAAUAUGAAAUACUGGUUGGCUAAGGCUUGAACAUCCAAGGCUAAAGACCUCUCUACUACUAGUAGAUAUGCUAAGCUGCCCAAACUCUCCUCCUUGUAACUCAAGGCAUCGGCCACCACAUUGGCCUUCAUGGCAUGAUAGAGGAUGGUUAUAUCAUAGUCCUUAAGCAACUCCAACAACUUUGGUUGCCGCAAGUUAAGAUCCUUCUGUUUAAAUAGAUGUUAUAGACUCUGGUGAUCGGUGUAGACCUCACAAGGGACACCGUACAAAUAGUGCCGCCAGAUCUUCAAGGCAUGAACAAUGGCUGCUAACUCGAGGUCGUGGAAAGGUAGUUCUUCAGCUCUCUAGAUGCAUAGGCAAUCAACCUACCAUCCUGCAUUAACAUCUCACCGAGACCAAUGCGCGUCGCAUCACAAUACACCGCAUAGGACCCCGAACCAGUAGGUAAUACCAACAUUAGGGCCAUAGUCAAAGAUGUCCUGAGCUUUUAAAAGCUCUCCUCACACUCCUCGGUCUACCUGAAUGGAGCACCCUUUUGGGUCAGCCUGGUCAUAGGUGCUGCAAUAGACAAGAAAACCUUUACAAAUCGACAGGAAUAUCCCGCCAAACCAAGAAAACUCUGAAUCUCCAUAGCUUAGAAUGGUCUGGGCCAACUCGACAUUGCUUCUAUCUUCUUCGAAUCUAUAUUGAUCCCCUCACUCGAUAUUACAUGACCCAAAAAUUCCACUAAAUCUAGCCAGAAUUCACGCUUUGAAAAUUUUGCAUAUAACUUAUUUUCUCUCAAGGUUUGAAGCACAGUCCUCAAGUUCUGCACAUGAUCCUCUUGGCUCCGGGAGUAUACCAGAAUGUUUUCAAUAAACACAAUGAUGAACGAGUCAAGAUAGGGUUGAAAUACACUAUUCAUCAAGUGCAUGAAUGUUGUUGGGGCGUUGGUUAGCUAAAAGACAUCACAAGGAACUCGUAAUGACCAUACCGAGUCUUGAAAGCAGUUUUCGGGAUGUCUGGCUCCCAAAUCUUCAACUGAUGAUAGCCUAAACACAAGUCAAUCUUAGAGAACACUCUGGCACCCUGAAGCUGAUCAAAUAGAUCAUCAAUACAAGGCAAUAGGUACAUGUUCUUUACAGUAACCUUGUUCAGCUGGCGAUAAUCAAUACACAAAGGCAUAUAAUUAUCCUUCUUCUUUACAAAUAAGACUGGAGCACCCUAAGGUGACACACUGAUCCGAAUGAAUCCCUUGUCAAGCACUCCUACAACUGUUCCUUUAACUCCUUCAACUCCGUUAGGGUCAUACGAUAAGGUGGAAUAGAAAUGGGCUGAGUGCCCGGUAACAAAUCAAUACCAAAGUCGAUAUCUCUGUCGGGCGACAUUCCCGAAAGAUCCACUAGAAAUACAUCUGGGUAAUCUCUUACUACCGGAGCUGACUCGAAGGUAGGAGUUUCAACACUAACAUCCCUCACAUAUGCCAGAUACGCAUCAUACCCCUUCUCAACCAUCUACUGAGCCUUUAGAAAUUAGACAACCCUACUAUGGACAUAAUCUAAGGUACCUCUCCACUCUAACUGUGGUAAUCCAGCUUAGCCAACAUCACGGUCUUGGCGUGACAAUCAAGAAUAGCAUGAUAGGGCAAUAACUAUUCCAUACCCAAAAUAACAUCAAAAUCUACCAUACUGAGCAAUAACAAAUCGGCACUAGUCUCAAAACCACUAAGAACAACCAAACAUGACCGAUACACAUGGUCAACAACAAUAGAGUUUCCCACGGGUGUAGACUCAUAGAUAAAAGAACUCAAAGAAUCACGGAUACCCCUAAAUAUGAAGAAAAAUAAGAUGACACAUUGAAAUAAGUGGUGUCUGGAUCAAAUAAGAUUGAUGCAUCUCUAUGACAAACCGAAACAAUACAUGUGAUAACAGAGUCGGAUGAAACUGCCUCUAUCCUAGCAGGAAAGGCAUAAUAUAUGGCUUGGCCUCCCCCUCUAGGGUGACCUAUGCCUGCCCGACCUCUACCUCUAGCUGGCUGUAUAGGUGGGAUGGCAACUGAUGCUGCAACCAUGGAUUGAGAAUCCUGAGGGCCCGGUGGAAUACGCGGAGCCUGAGUAGCCUAUAGAGGUGUACCCCUCCUGAGUCUGGGGCAAUACCUUACCACGUGAUGAGUGUCACCACACUCAAAAUAAGCUCUCAAAGGACGUGGCUGCUGUGACUGGCUCGGUCCUGAUCGGCUGGACUGAUAGCUGUAAGCACCCCGUGCAGGAGUUGUACUAGAUAACGGAGGUGCAUAAUACGGAGCUUGAGGCCUAGGAGUAGCCAGAGUACUGCUGGAAACUGGAAGUGCUGAAUGAUUAGGGCAACUCACAUAGUCCCUACCAUGACGAGUUGCAACUGGAGCACAUGUACCACUGUAUGUGCCAGGAUCUCGAGACCUCUUAGUCUCUCUCUCCUCUUUCUCCCGAGUCAACAUACCCUCCAACCUCCUGCAAUCCCCAUUACCUGCUAGUAUGCAAUGUCCAUCUCCAACUCUCAGGCCAUGCUAAAUCUAAUACAAGGUUGAGCCCCUCGAUAAAUUGACGAACCCUUUUUCGAAUAGUAGCAACCAAGGCUAGCCCAUUCCUAGCCAAAUCACUAAACUGGAGCGUAUACUCCAACUUGGUCAUAGAAUCCUGGCACAAUUGCUUAAACUCUGCGUGCCAAGCAUCUCUGAGACUCUGGGUAACAUACUCCCUCAGAAAUAUAUCAGAGAACUGAGUCCAAGUGAGUGAAGCUGCCUCAGUCGGACUACCCAACUCAUAUGCUCGCUAUCACUGAUAGGUCGCUCCUUUAAGCUGGAACGUGGUAAAAGAAACCCUACUAGACUCCGCAAAACCCAUAGUAUGGAGGAUACGGUGGCACUCCUCAAGAAAACCCUGGGCAUCCUCUGAUGCCAAGCCACUAAAAGUAGGAGUGUGGUACUUCUUGUACCUCUCGAUCCUGAACUGCUCCUCCUCAGAAACUACUGCCCUAGCCUCGAGCCGAAUUAGGGCCACGACUGUAUUGGUAUAACCUCUAGAACCUAGUCAACCUGGACCCGUUGCUUUGGGGUACGGGCGACGGGAGUUUGUGCUCCUCCCCCGGCCUGAGAUGUGGUAGGAGCAGGUGGUAUCAACCCUGCCUGAACCAAAGUGCUGAACAUACUCAAAAACUGGGCGAGAGUCUCAUGGAGGGCUGGUGUAGCAACGGAUAUCUCAGGUACCUGUCUUACGACUGGAGCUACUGGUGGUUCCUUUGUAGCAGCUCGUACGGGUGCUCUGGAUGUACCACAUAGAUGUCCUCGACCUCUAACCCGGCCCUGGCCUCUCACAGCUCUAGCAGGGGGCAUGGGUGUCUGGUCAUCCAAUCCAGUUGUAUGUGUCCACCAUCUGUGACAGAAUAGAAAGACAAAAAAUUUAGAAUCAGAAGUCAAAAAUUUCGCACGAUAAGAAAUCAAAGAAUUGAAGUUUUUUCCUAACAGUUCCACAACAUCCCGAAGAUAAGUACAGACGUUCCUGUACUGAUCCACGAGACCCUACUAAACAUGUUUUUUACUCAUAACACCUAUGAACCUAGGGCUCUAAUACAAACUUGGCACAACCUUAAUUCCCCUCCGUAGGAUGCUGUGACGACACCUAAUCUCUAAGACUAGGUAAGCCUAACAAUUAUGUAGAAUAACUGAAUAUUAAGCUCAAACUCAAACCUCAACAUCUGAAAUAAAUAAAAUUGUAAUUCAAAAUAAUUACAACUCCCAAACCCGGUAGAAAUAAGUCACAAGCUCUAAAGAGAAAUAUUAAAUAUCUCUAUACAUCAUAGUCUAAUGAGGAUAAGGGAAAACAAUAAAAUAAAGGUAGAGGGGGACUAAGAGGUCUAUGGACGUUAGAAGAUAUACCUUGAAGUCUCCAUCUACUCACUGGCUCACUGAUAUCUAGUCUAGUAGGAAGUACCUGGAUCUGCACAAAAGAUGUGCAGAAGAGUAGUAUGAGUACACCACAAUAGUACCCCAUAAGUGCCAAGCGUAACCUCGGUGGAGUAGACGAGGUUAGGUCAGAGCCCUACUAGAACUAAUAAGAAACAAGGCAGAAGGUAUAAUAAGAUAAUGAAAUGACAUAGAGGUGAUACAAUGAGAAUUUACGGAAGGUAAUAACACAGAAUCAGAGAAAAAACAAUUAUAACAUGGAAGGAAGGAAAAAUCUUGCAAGUCAAAGAAAGACAACAACAACCAAUGCAACAAAUAAAGGAAGUCAAUAGGGGCACUCCCGAGGUACCACCUCGUAAUCCCAAAAGUAAAUAUCUCCACAAUCUUUCCUUAUAUCACUGCGGGGGCCUUAUAGUUUGUUUUGAAAUUCAUUUUUCCGAAAUAUAAUCCCACAUUUUUUCCAACCCUAUCUCACUGCAUGAUUUCUAGUAGUUCCUCUACUAGCCACGCGUAUCAAGCCCACCUUAUCUGUCACGACCCAAAACUUAUCCUGUCGUGAUGGCGCCUAAUGUGGUACUAGGCAAGCCAACACACUACCAAAACCAAUCAAUAUUUUCAUUUUUAAGAUAAAACCAAAGAUAUUUAACAAUAAACCUGCAUAAAGAGUUUAAAUCAAAACAACAGUGCGAAAAGAAAGCCCGACAUCGGGGUGUCACUAGUCAUGAGCAUCUACUACAACCAUCUGAAAAUAUCAAGACUAACAUAGCCUGGAAAAAACUGAAUACAACUAAGAGAGGAUAAGGAGGGAGAAAAGCAGGGCUGCGAUCGCCAGGCAACUACCUUACUAACUCCGAUGGACCUGCCACUGAGUAAUCAACACCCGCUACCGGGUUUAGAAAUACCUGGAUCUGCACAUAGGUGCAGGGAGUAAUGUGAGUAUGCCAACUCAGUAAGUAAUAAAAGUAAAUAAAUACUGAGCAGUAGUGACGAGCAAUAAAACAUAUAUAGUUCAUAUCAUGAAAUCUCAGUAAAAUACAACAUGCUUUUAAAAUCUGGAUUUUGAAUCAACUCAGCUCAUUUAAAUCCAGUUUUAGUAAAACCAUUUAAAACAUCUUUCAACAGUUUUCAACGAAGUGAUGAAACAGUGAGUAAAAAUGAUGAAAACAUAAAAAGCCCCUCAGGUAAAACUCACUCGUACACAUCCCCUCGGGCAACAUAAAUAAAGAACAACCCCUCGGCGAACAUUACUCGUAAACAGCCCCUAGGGCAAACAUGAAUCAUAAACAGCCCCUCGGGUAAACCUCACAGUCACUCAUAUCCAUCUCCUCGGGCAUUACCUCAUAAUCGUUUGCAAACAGUCCCUCGGACACAACAUGAAUCAAGAACAGCCCAUCGGGCAAAACAUCAUAUCACUCACUCAGGGUACUCACGCUCAUUAGGGGUGUAUAGACUCUAGAGGGGCUCCUACAACCCAAGCACUAUAACAAGCCACCUCGUGGCAUAAAUCAAUCAGGCCCUCGACCUCAUAACAAGACACCUCGUGGGAUAAAUCAAUCAGGACCGCGGCCUCACAAAAAUCAUGAAUCAAUAACAACAUGUUGCGGCGUGCAACACGAUCCCAUAAUAUCCUCACAGCACAGGCCCUCGGCUUCACUCAGUCAGAAACCUCUCAAGCCACUCGGGCUAUCAGUAAGGCAGGGUGCUCAGCCCAAAAUAUCAUUUUAUGCAUCAAAACGGAGUAAUAAAGACUGAGUUAUGAAAUUAGUAAAUACAGCAUGACUGAGUAUAGAUCUUAAAUAAAAAACAGUAAGAGGAUAAUAAGUGUCACACCUCCUUUUUACGACCCCCGGAAGGGUAUAAUGGAGUUUUUCCAAUUAAAGGACAAUUGAAAUGAGAUUAUUUCAUUUAAAGAUUCAGAGUCGCCACUUGGGAGAUUUAUGGUGUCCCAAGAUACCGGUUCAAAUCCCGAAUCGAGGAAAGGAUUGACUCUGUUUAACAGUCCGCGAACCAGAAAUCCGAGUAAGGAAUUCUGCUAACCCGGGAGAAGGUGUUAGACAUUCCCGAGUUCCAUGGUUCUAGCACGGUCUCUUAACUGUUAUAUUCGGCUUAAUUAUCUGAUUUUAAACAAUUCUAAACCUAUGUGCAAAUUUUAACUUUUAACCGCUUUUAUUCAUUUUUAGAGAAAAUUGCAACGUUAUUAAAACAUGUCUCAAACCACGUCACAUAAAUGCACCCGUGGUCUUUGACAUAUUUUAACAUCGUUGAGAUUUGGAUUUGGGUCACAUAAAUGCGCACCCGAGUUUAGGAAGGUAAUUUUAUGAAAAUGACGCGCCUAAAGCAACUACGCGUUAGCAAUUUGUGAGGGCCAUGGAAUUUCAACUAAACGGCACACCUCGAAUUCUAAGGAUUAAAACAAGAUUAAUUAAACGAGGGCCAUGCAAUUGAGAUUUUUGUUUGGCACGACACACCUCGAUUCAUUCUAACCAAAAGGUUUCUAAACUAACUCAUGAGGGCCAUUAAUUGUUAUUGGUUUGAAUGGCGCACCCCAAAAAAAGGUUAAGUUAAUUAGUAAAACUCAAGGAAUUCAAAAGCUCUCUAUGCCAAGUCCAAAUUAUGUCGUCUCAUAAAUAGAGAAUGCCUUUUUCCCUUCAAAUCCGGGCCCAAGGGAGCCCAACACAUCAUUGAAAAUGUUAUUAACCUACUGGCUCUUAAAUGUCUUGGCAAUGGAUCCUAAUAGAGGGCCCCAUUCGAACGUGCUACAGCCGUAUAACAGGGGACUCAAGAUCGAGUCCCUGUGGCUGCAUUCAAAACCAAUUUUGAUUAAAAGGGACCAACAUCAAGAGAAAUCAAUUCCCACUCUUCGGUUGGGCUUGAGUGAACCCAGGUCUUGACAAAACAUGGCUUGAAUUGGGCUGCUUGCUACUUGCUACUUUAAUUAAUAAAACUCUCGAUCAAUUUUUGAAUUAUAAACUAAGCAAACAAGUUGUUGAAGUCAUAAAUGAUAUUACAUCUACACAUGAAAAAUACUUGAAACCUACUCCAAGGUCUUACUUCCAACUUUCGAUUUACCAAUUCAAUUCAAUUAUGCACAAAUUAAACAUACCAUGUUACAGAUCUCUAUUACCCUUCCAAAUUCAUCAUUUUUUUUUAAAAAAACAAAGAAAUAACAGAAGAAUCCACAGCAAAUGAAAUGGCUGCUUCCUUCAGAACAAAACAAAACUCAAGAAAGUCCUGGGGCGAAGGAUUGCUCAUUGUAUGUUUACAAACUCCAAACAAUAGAUGAGGAAUCAGCAGCCAACACUUAGUUUAUCCACGAAUUCAAAUAGGAAUUAAGAUUGGAACAUGAAUGAUCUUACCCACAUAUUUAAACUAGAGUUCACAACCAACUAUAAAUACAUACUUUAAAGUCCAAAACAAUUUCAACCCAAUUGCAACCUUAUAAGCUCAAAUCUGAACCUCAGAACAAGAUGAAAUACCCAAAACAGUAAAAAAACUAAACCAAGUUCGAUGUUUGAACAGAUAGUAGAGAAUUGGUAUUGAUGGAUUUCCUCAUCUUGAAUUACCCAGUUUCACACUUGAACUUCACAUACAAUAGAUCCAAGGUAUACCUGGUGUUGAACAAACAAAGCAAAACAAAAGUGAAUGUUCAACAAAAGAUCAGCAGCAGAAACAACCCAAGUUCAGUUUCAAACAGAAAGGAAAAGACGCAGCAGUCCAAAAAUGUUUUAAUUGAACAGUACCCCAACCUACUUCUAACCAAACUUGUACUAAUCCAAGCUCAAACCAUUUUAACCCCCAAAUGAUCAGAAAUCACUUCAGAAAUUGGAUAAAAAACACAGAUGAAAAAACCAAUGAAAUAGUGACUUUUUGGUGCCUUUUAGCCGUUUGUGUUAUUUUUUAUUUUUAUCUCUGAAAGCUCUCUCAAAACCAAAUAAUUUUUAACUCUCAAAUAUACUAGCCUUCAUUUCAGGAAUUAGAGAUCUAUGAAAUCACAAAGAAACCUCAAUGAAAUAGUGAAAUUUGCAGCCGUUUGUGUUUUUCAGAAUUUUAGCUCUUAGAAAUCUGCCUUGAAAGGCAAGAAAUGAUGCCUUUAUAGGCAAGAAAGUAGGGCAGCGUCAGAUUUUAGUUUUUUGCACUUUGCCCCUUUUUGAAUUUUCAUUCUAGCUUACGUGUCCCUCAAUUACUGACUUGUUAACCAAGCUAUCCUAUUAUAAAUCUGAAAUUCCAUUAAGAACCGCCCACCCAAGCUUCCUAGAAGCUUCCUAAUUAGUUUUUCAAAGAUUGUCCACCUACAAUCCCUUGACCCUUAAACAACCUGUUAUUACCCUCCCAACCAAACGGAAACUGAAUACAAUUGACCCAAGCUAAUGGGUUCAAGUAAACCCGAAUUAAAUCCUUCCUGGGCCUUUUAAUUUUCAGGAGGCUUCUUUUGUCAUUGAAAAAGCCCACGUUUUCACAAGCCAACCCACAAAGUCUCAAAGACUCGUGAAAUUUGGGUUCAAAACAAAACGAAAAUGUUUUUAAACUGGGAAUCCAAAGCCAUUACAAAUCUGGGACCAACCACCCAAGCAUAAACAUGAAACAAAAAUGGAAAAGUAAAGGGCAUAGACAGACGAGGAUGAACUAUAAGAAGAAAUGAACAUCAAUGACCUAAGCGAAGAAAAAUACCAUUCCUGAAGAUGAAGAAUCAAACCGAAAGCACUCUGCCCAGUCGCAGGUAUUCGACAAAUCCGAGGUGAGUCAAAACUCACAUUAAUCAACGGCUCUUAACAAAGCCAUUAGCUAAUUUUAAUUUCGACUCACAGCAUGCCAAAAUCGAUGAAAAGAAUUGAAGAAGCGAAACCUCGGCGAUUUCAACUUUUUAGAUUGGAAAUCUGAGGGACUCCAUUGGGUGUUUUGGGAAACGAGGGCAAAGACGUGAUUUAGCAAAGUCCAGCGGUUGCCUGGUAUGAAUUUUAGGCGAUUUGGGUAGAAACACCAUAGCCAUGGCAGAUUAGGGCAUAGAUAGGGAGAAGACGAGGCACAUGGGUGUUUGGAGUAAAUGAGGAGUCUGUGACCCUUUUCAGACAUAUUAAUGGUUUUAAGAGAUAGGUUUCGGACCGUUUGAUGCAUUAAAAUGAACGGCCCAAAUCUGCCGAAUUCGAAACGGCAUCGUUUGGUUGUAAAGAGGAAUUGGACCGGGUAUUGGGUCAUGGGCCAAUUGGGGCGGGUUUUGUUCUGUUUGGGGUGGAUCCGUUUGGGCUUGGAGAUGACUUAAUUAUUCUGACCCAAAUCCUUUUUCUCAUCUCCCAUUAAUUCUUUUAGUUCCCUUUCUUUCUCUUUUUUUUCUCUUUUUUUUCCGUCUGAAAAUUAAAACUAAAAAUCCUAAAUUAAAUUAAAAAAUAAACUAACUCAUUAAAAAUACUAACUAAUCCUAAAUAAUUAACACCAUUAAUAAAUUAAAGAAAAACUAUUCGAAAAUCAAAAAUUAAAAUUAAAGGGUGCAAAAUGACUAUUUUUGUGAUUUUCCUUUUUAUAAAACAACUUAAUUACUAAAUAAUUCUUAAAAUGAAAAAUUAACUCCUAAAUGCACAUGCAACUCAUUUUUGUAUUUUUCACUAAUUAAAAUGCACAAACAAAAAUGCAGACAAUUAACAGAAAAUGUCACGAAAAUCCACAAAAUUGCAAUUACUGAAAGAAAUUAUUUUGUUUUGAAUUUAUGGUAGUAAUUCAUAUAGGGCAAAAAUCACGUGCUCACAGCUGCCCCUCUUUUCUCUGAAACACGCAAAGUUUUCGAGCAAAGAUAAAGUGAGCAGAUACAAGCAAUUUUUGCCCAUUUGAAUACUCCGUGGGAAGCAUUUUUGAAAGAGUUGAUCGCACCCUGCUUCUGAGGUUGCCUACAUAUCCUUGGCUAAAAAGGAAUCAGGUCAGUGUAGUUCAGGAAUAUCUGGUAGCUGGGACUACCCUGAAGCUGUGAUUUCCCUGUUGCUGCUGCUGCUACUGCUUACUGAACCCCCUUAUUACACCAUGUCAAAAAUAAAAGAAGCUAGACUAGUCUAUGAUCUAUGAGUUUACAAGAGAUCCUAUCUAUAUCUUCAAACAUGCUUCUUGUGGUUCUUGUUGCCUUGUUGACUUGUAUUCUCCCAGUGAAAUCCCUUUGUUGCCGCCUUGAAUUGUAAUCUGAGAUGUUUUCCCUUUUUCCAGGUAGAUGCCUGACUGCCAACUACACUUUGAGAUGUUUUUCCUUUCUCCAAGUGGACGCCUGACUGCUAAACUUGAAUGUAUUCCCUGCUCUUUAGGCGGGCUCCUGAUUGCUGAACUUGAAAUGUAUUCCUAUGCUCCCCAGGCGGGUGCCUGAUUGCUAAAUUUGAAUUGUAUUCCCUUGCUCUCCAGGUGGGCGCCUGACUGCCAAAAACUUGCACUGUAUUCCCUUGUUCUUCAGAUAAGCUUCUGAUUGCCGAAACUUGAACUGUAUUCCCUUGUUCUCCAGGUGGGCUCCUGAUUGCCAAAACUUGAAUUGUAUUCCCUUGUUUUCCAGGUGGGAUCCUGAUUACCAAAACUUGAAUUGUAUUCCCUUGUUCUCCAGGUGGGCUCCUGAUUACAAAAACUUGAAUUGUAUUCCCUUGUUCUCCAGGUGGGCUCCUGAUUUCAACAAAAAUAGACAAAACAAGGAAAAUUUUCUGCCCCUGUUUGGUAGUUGGGUACAUAUGUGGGUGUUAAACUGAAUCAUGUUACCAAAUAUUCUAAGAAUUUGAAAGCUAUAUCCCAUUGUCCAGGAGGGUCCUGACAACUCUUAGUUGAAU